rnacentral:lncRNA from 1 species
GGAACCUCGGAACUGAAUGGAAUCGAACCGUUUUAUAAUUAAAUUUGGACUCGACAGUUCCACUUACUAAAUACUCGAAAAUUUCGAAUUGGUUCGGUUCUCAUUAGAAUCGAGUCGAAUCGGACCAUGUCCAGCCCUACUCUUUAUCUCUCAAUACAUCAACAAAAAAUUAUCGAAACUGGUGGAGGAAGAGAACUACAACUUCAAAAAUAUCUGAAGAAGAGUGGAAAUCACUGCCUUUAACAGCCACCACGCUCACGAUCUUGUGCCUGUAAAAGAAGCGAAGACGAUUCCAUCAGCUUUUCCAAAAACAAACUUCAUAGGAUAUCAAUUCUCAUUUUGAUUCUCUCUCAUUUGUUGUGCAGUGUGCUUGUUAUUACUAUUGCAUCUUUGCAUCUGCUGCAAUAUGUUGCCUUUAUGGUAGCAUUUUUGAAUUACUAUUGAAAAUUUACACUUUUUUUAAUGUCAAACUUCACUUUUUCACUUUCAAAUUAAAAAAAGUGACACUUGACUUAGAAAUAUGACAUCGGGUUUAUUAGAAAAGUGACAUCGUGUUUUACACAAUAUUUUUACUUCCAAAGUACUUUUCAUAAGAAUCUUCAAAAGAUCCCUAAUUUUAGGUGUAUUUUUGUAAGUUGCCCGUAAUAAUUUAUUUAAAUUAGGUCGAGCAAGGCUAUAUUUAGUGAUGGCAAUGGCUGGCUCGGCCCUUUAACCCAUGAGCUCGGCUUGGGCUUGUGGCAAGCUGAGCUCGUGGCUCGUUGCUCGGGGGCGAACUCUACUCGGCCCACGAGCUCACGAGCCACGAGCUCGUGGGCCAAGCCGAGCCCACGAGCUCGUAUUUUAUUAUUAUUAUUAUUUUUUUUUUUGCACUUUUUUGUAAAAAAAUUUCAUACUUUUGGACGAGCUUGGCUCGUGGAAUCGAGCCCGAGCUACCCACGAGCCGACGAGCCGCUCAGCCCAUUUGACAUCCCUAGCGAUAUUGGGUUAAACCUACACGUUGAGGCAAACUGUAGAUAAAUGUGAUGGGCCAUAAGAGGAUAUCUUAGACCUAUCUAGUCGAUUCAACCCCGCCUGUCAUUCUUCUGAUAUUUAGUGAAAAAAACCGUUGAAUGCACCAAAUGAAUGGAGAGAAUCAAACAAGUUGCAGCAUAGACAUUUAUGGUGAUGCUGAUGCCAUUUUGUCCAAGUUGCAUGACUAUUUUCUCUGCCUACGCACACCUAUAAAGUGGCAACUGCCAACCUUUGGGAAAACAAUAUGCAAGCAUCUUUGUGUGGGCUUAUGAAAUUUACUUAUAAGUAAGUUUAUUAAAAGUAAUUUAUGGUUGGG